UGUUUUCUUAAGUCAUAUGAGUGCCAGUACGAGUGAGUGUCUGCCCCGCGGUAGUAUAGAGUGUGGUGUUUAGGACUCAAUCAACUCAAGAUGCUGUUCAUCGACCAACGGACAGACUACACCUAUUAUACGUAAUGCAGUGUGACUCAGUUCAGGAUUGCGUAUCGGAAAAGAAUGGCUUCAAGCUCGGGAAGUAAAGGCAGAGGACGAAGAGAGGAUUCUAUAGAAGCUUCCAUCCGAGAACUAGACACCUGCAUUCCAUGUCCCUGCAUGACCCCCAGUAUAAAGCUGGCGUACUACGUGACAGAAGAACAUGGCUGCACGUGGCGCUGCACUAGACACCGCCCAGUCGGGUUUAUGUCUUUUAUUAUUUUACUUAACCAGUUGUGUAUGUACACAAGGAAACAUAACUGCGAAAUGAGAUGCACCGAGUUUUCUACAGAGGCCUGUAGACUGUCCCAACGACAACAGAAAAGAAUGAAAAAUUCAGUGCACUGCACUUGUAAAAUAAUCAACUUCAAAUCUUUGGAUUACCAGGUCAACGUUAUUUUGUGUACUUAAAAUAUCAGUACCAACUAAAUUAAAUUUGUUAAAAUAAUGACUCGAACUCUGUCGCAAAACUUCUGAAUCUAUAAAUAAACUUUAUUAAAUCUG